rnacentral:rRNA from 1 species
CAAUAGCGUAUAUUAAAGUUGCUGCAGUUAAAAAGCUCGUAGUUGCAUUUCCGAGGCAAGGGAUUAGUCCGACCUUUGGUGGGUAUUUAAUCCUCUUGCCUCGUCCUUGAGUGGUGCUUCUUGGUAUUAAGUUAUCGAGGAGAUAGCCGCUCAUCGUUUACUGUGAGAAAAUUAGAGUAUUCAAAGCAGGCUUAUGCCGUUGAAUAUAUUAGCAUGGAAUAAUAAGAUAGGACCUCGGUACUAUUUUGUUGGUUUGAGAACCAAGGUAAUGAUGAAUAGGGACAGUUGGGGGUAUUCGUAUUCAGUUGUCAGAGGUGAAAUUCUUAGAUUUACGGAAGACGAACUACUGCGAAAGCAUUUACCAAGGAUGUUUUCAUUAA